rnacentral:lncRNA from 1 species
CUGAAUGAAACUCACCCUCCUCUAGAGUUGAUGAACAUUCGCCCAGUUUCCCUGAGAGGCCAGCUGGUGCUAAGGUGGAGCUCUGGGGACUGGAGAGGAGGAGGAGUCAGAGUCUGCUUCCUUGAGAAGGCCAGAAGUCAGAGAAGAAAACUUAGCCAGCAAGCACAGAUCUGAAUGAAGCUCGUAUACAAGAAA